GCUAUCAAUUUUGCUAUCUAAAUAAAACUACUGCUAUUUUAUGUUCACUAUGAAUUUAGCGUUUCCGGUUCUCCGUGUUAAUAGUGGACGCAAGUAGCAACACCCGGUGGACCUGAGGUGCGAAGUCAAAGCAUUCUAAAACAGUUUGACUCCUUACAGAAGUGCACCAUUACCACUGCAGGGCACUGUAGUAUUUUUUUAUCCUUGGAGUGUUCCUUCUUCUUUGCCAACUUCCACCUUGAUAUUGUGGUGGAUAUUUCGUUGUUCCAAAAGGACC